rnacentral:lncRNA from 1 species
UGGUAUCAGAGCCUAGGCUUCAUAGAUUAAGGUAAGAAUUAAUUAUCUAAAGGCUUAUUAGAUCUGAAAAUUGAAUGAUCAUGCAUGCUGAAAAUUUCUGCAUGCAGAUUUUUUAGGGGUGCUGAUUUUUGCAUGCUGAUUUUUAUGUGAUAAGAUGAUGAUUCUAAUUGCAUUGUUAAUGAGAUUACAAAGUUUAGAAUCAUGAUUAGCAUGAUCAGCAACCUAUGUCAUGAUAUAAUCAGUUAGUUUUCAGAUCUGAAAAUUAUAAUUGUUGCAUAUGGUGAUGAUCAUAGGAUUCAAACCCUUUUGGUAUCAAAUGUAAUGACUUG